rnacentral:misc_RNA from 1 species
ACCAGGCUUAAAAAUGAAAAAACCUGAUUUAAAAAGCAAUAAAAUAUCAUGUAAAUUAAAUUUCAACAAAAACACAUUUUAUAAUCAUGUCAAGCCAGUACAAAUCCAUUUGUUUUGCAAGUGUCCUUGAUGAAGGAUCAAAUACGUUAACAAAAAUGGUUUAAAUAAAUAUAUUCAAGAAUUUUAGAUCAACUAAUCAAUGAAUCUAUAAAUCUUACAGACAAUAAGCAGUUUGCCACAAUAAGCUAUCAACUAGAACAUAAACUGAUCAUUGAAUAACAACCAAAAAUAGAUAAACCCAUAAAUAAAAUCAAUUUAGAUGUGAAAGCAAAUCCAGAAUCAAGAAAGAAAACAAAAGGAACAUGUCCAUGCAAUUGAUAUAUCCAAUCCAUUAAUUAGAAAAGAAAAGCAAAUCUAACUCAAUUGAGCAACAAACCAUUAUCAACUAAAUCACAUUAAAUCAUAAAAAAAAAUGUUCAUCACAAAGAUCGAUACCCAACAAACAAAUCCAACAGAAACAACA